rnacentral:rRNA from 1 species
UUUUCCAGGCAAAUCCGGAAAAUCAAGGCUGAGGCGUGAUGACGAGGCACUACGGUGCUGAAGCAACAAAUGCCCUGCUUCCAGGAAAAGCCUCUAAGCAUCAGGUAACAUCAAAUCGUACCCCAAACCGACACAGGUGGUCAGGUAGAGAAUACCAAGGCGCUUGAGAGAACUCGGGUGAAGGAACUAGGCAAAAUGGUGCCGUAACUUCGGGAGAAGGCACGCUGAUAUGUAGGUGAAGCGACUUGCUCGUGGAGCUGAAAUCAGUCGAAGAUACCAGCUGGCUGCAACUGUUUAUUAAAAACACAGCACUGUGCAAACACGAAAGUGGACGUAUACGGUGUGACGCCUGCCCGGUGCCGGAAGGUUAAUUGAUGGGGUUAGCGGUAACGCGAAGCUCUUGAUCGAAGCCCCGGUAAACGGCGGCCGUAACUAUAACGGUCCUAAGGUAGCGAAAUUCCUUGUCGGGUAAGUUCCGACCUGCACGAAUGGCGUAAUGAUGGCCAGGCUGUCUCCACCCGAGACUCAGUGAAAUUGAACUCGCUGUGAAGAUGCAGUGUACCCGCGGCAAGACGGAAAGACCCCGUGAACCUUUACUAUAGCUUGACACUGAACAUUGAGCCUUGAUGUGUAGGAUAGGUGGGAGGCUUUGAAGUGUGGACGCCAGUCUGCAUGGAGCCGACCUUGAAAUACCACCCUUUAAUGUUUGAUGUUCUAACGUUGGCCCGUUAUCCGGGUUGCGGACAGUGUCUGGUGGGUAGUUUGACUGGGGCGGUCUCCUCCUAAAGAGUAACGGAGGAGCACGAAGGUUGGCUAAUCCUGGUCGGACAUCAGGAGGUUAGUGCAAUGGCAUAAGCCAGCUUGACUGCGAGCGUGACGGCGCGAGCAGGUGCGAAAGCAGGUCAUAGUGAUCCGGUGGUUCUGAAUGGAAGGGCCAUCGCUCAACGGAUAAAAGGUACUCCGGGGAUAACAGGCUGAUACCGCCCAAGAGUUCAUAUCGACGGCGGUGUUUGGCACCUCGAUGUCGGCUCAUCACAUCCUGGGGCUGAAGUAGGUCCCAAGGGUAUGGCUGUUCGCCAUUUAAAGUGGUACGCGAGCUGGGUUUAGAACGUCGUGAGACAGUUCGGUCCCUAUCUGCCGUGGGCGCUGGAGAACUGAGGGGGGCUGCUCCUAGUACGAGAGGACCGGAGUGGACGCAUCACUGGUGUUCGGGUUGUCAUGCCAAUGGCACUGCCCGGUAGCUAAAUGCGGAAGAGAUAAGUGCUGAAAGCAUCUAAGCACGAAACUUGCCCCGAGAUGAGUUCUCCCUGACUCCUUGAGAGUCCUGAAGGAACGUUGAAGACGACGACGUUGAUAGGCCGGGUGUGUAAGCGCAGCGAUGCGUUGAGCUAACCGGUACUAAUGAACCGUGAGG